CUCCAACAGUGACAUGUAUCUCA
rnacentral:piRNA from 1 species